rnacentral:misc_RNA from 1 species
CACUGGAUCUGGGUCCUUGCCACCUCUUCCUGCUAUCAUCUACGCACAAGCAGGCCCCCGAACGGCGUCUGCCUCCCUUUUGGGUGCAGGGGACGCCGCACCAAGCCCGAUGCCCAGCUGUCGCAGCCCUGCACGGUGCUCUGCAGGCCGUCAGCCGCGUCGAGGUCCGCUAUCUGCAUUCGUCUGCAUCGCUCCACGGGUCGGGUCCCUUUCCUAUCAGCACGAAGGAUCGACCUGAAUCGGAGGAGCUUGUCGUGCCACGACGGCGUCCCGCCGACCAGACUCGCCCAGACCGCAAAGACGUCGCAGUGUCUGUCGAAGCUACUGAGGAGGUCUUGCCAGCAUACGACGGCCGCUUUGCGCUGCUGGGGAUGGUGCACUGUGCAUUUCCGCGGUGCAUCACCGCCGCCAGCAAGCGACGCGGGAUGUGUCGCGGACUGCACUCGCCUCUCUCUCUUCCUCAGCCACCUCGCUGAAGUCGCGCCGUUUUCUAGUAAAGCACCGCAGCCCUCCUCGAUAGAAGCGACGCCUGACCCCCUCCCAUCAGCAUCCGUGUCGUCGCCGUGGCCGCCUUCUGCGAGGACCAAAUCUCAGCUUAUCGCCGAGGAUGGGGUAGAGUCGGUGCUCGUGGUACAGCAGCAGAGGCGGCAGAGCACCGCCACCGUGCUCUCACAAGUUGCACUGGCAUUGUUUCACACAGCCAAGGAUUGCACGCGCGGCAGAAGCGGCGCUUGGGCAAACCGUAUUCGGAUGUGCGUUGUCCGCGACACAACUCUACCAGCAAGAAAAGCGCAUUCUUCACAUUCUACCGUCCGUGCUCCUCAACGUUGUCGUCUGGGUGUCGCUGGAGGUGCCUGCAAACACGCGCGGACUUCUCUAUCUCACCUGAUUGUGCCCUACUGCACGUCUCCGACGAUGGUGGUGGUGGGGGCAUGGAUGACGAUGCUGCUCAACCUCGUCGCGGUGCAUGUGGCUGCGUGUGCGCCGAACCUACACAUCCUCGGUGUGGCAGCCGACGUGCAGCGGCUGGCGCUGGGGACCUUACUAGCAGAGAGCACGGCUGCGGAGCGCUUGAUGGUUCACGCGGUGCAGCUGCUCUCCGACACCUCCGUAUUUUUCAAGGAAUCCUUGACGGCAGCACAGCAAGGGAGGGCGAAUCCGCUGAAACCUCCUCGUCACCUCGAAGGCCACACAAAAGGAAACCACCCCGCGUGUGACGCUGUUGCCACAGGCGCGCGCAUGAAUACCGUCCAGGACUGCAUGCCCGCGGGUACGCCUGCCCCUCAAUACGCGGGACACCUGCAGGCUGCGGUGACCGCGCGCGCUCCUGUACCUUCCGUGCUGGUGAAGCAGUGAUACAGAGCCUCACACGCGUCAGGAUGAUGCGCACAACGCUGCUAAGAGUCGGAUACAUUUCGCGGAACUCUGCUCGUUGCCUCCCAAUGCACUGCUCCUGCUUCUCUCUUGUCUUCCUCUUGCUGAUCUCUGUGUGAUGCACCGUCUCUUGCGCGGUGUACUGCGUCAAUCAUCUCUCGGACCUCCUCGGUGACGCGCCUCGCUUGUGCCGGGAAG